GGAUGCGUGUCUGAGCGGUCGAAGGUGCACGACUCGAAAUCGUGUGUGGGAAACCACCCCGGGUUCAAAUCCCGGCGCAUCCGCCA
rnacentral:tRNA from 1 species